rnacentral:snoRNA from 1 species
AAACCCUUACAUAUAUAAGCUACUACCUCCUUAUCCUUGAGUUCUAAGGAGAUAGGAUUUCGAGUCUGGUUGAUGAACUGCGGCUGUGUGAUCAGAGCUUGAUUAGUAGCCAUGGGUGGAUCUUGUUGUCUUGACAGACU